CAUUUGUCUUUCCAUUUAUAACAUAAGUGCUAAGAAAAGAGGGGUUUAUUUCAUUCACUCCAACACCUCUAGUGCCAAGUAAAAUACUUAACACAUAGCAGGCUCUGGAUAAAUAUUUGUUAAAUGAAUGAAAGACUCCAUUCUAGUUUGUCUAGUUUAUUGACUCAAACUCACCAAGAUCCAAGAAAUAUUUCAGCCUCAAUUAUGUGAGUGGCACUUAGCCAGAGGCUUAGAGCUUUAAAAAUCCAUCUAACAGUCCCUGACCUGAAGUGUGACCUUUGGGUGAGCAGCUAUUAGAAGAGGGCACAAGGGAGCCCUCAGGGUAAUAGAAAUGUUCUUUAUUCUGGAAGUAGGUAUAUAGGUGUAUCCGUAAGUACAAACCUAUUUAGCAGUACACUUAAGAUGUAUUUUAAGUUUCACUGCAAUAAAUUUUUUUUUUUAAGUUUCCGAUCUAUCUAGACACAUCAACAAGUAGUUUCCAUCGUGGUUCGAGCAAUGAUAGACGUCUGCACGGCCUGCCUGCCAGACGAGCAGCGAGAAAGCCUCUCCAAGUGCAAAGAUCGGUAAACCCGUUAAAAGGGAAAGUGGAGGCUGCCUUCCUUCGGACACCAGAACCUCCCAGAGAUCAAGGGCCUUCUUCAACGCCCUGGGACCACCUUCUCAAUCUGGCGCCCAAGAUGAGCGCUCAACUGCUCAAGAAUGCUCCACCUGCUGGGGAGCAGAUCCCUGAAGAGAGAUGAAGCCCGGGGCAAGAGAGAGGAACAAUGGGGCAGUCUGUAUGCUUCAGAUUCUGAACGAUGCAGCGUGAAGAGUUGCCCACAGCGUCCACGCGGUUUUGGAGGGGACUGUUAGCCAUACAGCCGGCCCCGGAACGUCACAAACCAGCGCACGCGGAGCCCCAGGGCCACAGGCCCCGAGCGCGCACGCGCAGCACAGAGCCUUCGCUACGCAGGCGCACCGCGGCCCUGCGCCAGGCAAAGAGGAGGGCCGGAGACCGCAGGCGGGCGCGCGCUGCCGGGCGCGGGGGAGCGACGGCCGCGCCAUGGAACAGCGGUUAGCUGAGUUCCGGGAGGCCCGCAAACGGGCCGGGCAGGCGGCCGAACCGAGCCCUUCGAGGCAGAGCGCACAAACCUCGGGAGAGAAGGCGGAAGCAGCUGCGACUCCAAGGGCAGCCUCAGGCUGGCUAAAACGGUUUCUGGGGUGGAAACCGAGGCCCGCGAGUGCCCAGACCCAGCCCAGCGUCGCUCAGGAAGCCGCUCAGCCUGGGAGCAGCACAUCACAGCCACCACGGAAUACAGCCAUUCCUCUGCCAUCGCCACGGGACCAGUCUAUCCUGACCAACAUCACCUUCUUGAAGGUUCUUCUCUGGCUGGUCCUGCUCGGACUGUUUGUGGAACUGGAAUUUGGCUUGGCUUAUUUUGUCCUGUCUUUGUUCUACUGGAUGUACGUUGGGACACGAGGCCCAGGAGAGAAGAAGGCGGGAGAGAAGAGCGCCUACUCUGUGUUCAACCCGGGCUGCGAGGCCAUCCAGGGCACUCUGACUGCGGAGCAGUUUGAGCGCGAGCUACAGUUUCGACCCCUGGAGGGGAGAUAGGACCAGGCUCUGCUGUCCUGCAGCUGGCCUCCGCGUGGUCCCCUUAGCCCCAGGGCGUGGACUUGUGGGCUUGAUUUCAGGUGCCCAAGACUAAGGACAGCAUGCAGUGACCUCUAAAGAAGAAGAAUCCAGGUGCAAGAUUCGGGCGCUUCUUAGGAAGCUCUUUACCAAAAGAACCUGAGCCACCCUCCACUGCCACCCUAGGUUAUUUCUUCUUAUUCUCAGUGGACACAGAGCAUCCUCCAGGCUGGUAAAUCAUUGCUCAGUUCUCUUAGUCCUCUCUCUUCUUCAGGCUAAAUCCUCCGAGUUAUAUUCCUGGAACAAUCACUUUCAAGCUAGCCUUAGCCCGUUCUGAGGGUUCCAGGUCUGGGUGGGGAUGAUUGUCUCAGUUGUUGAGUGCAAUGACCUUUCUCAAAAGCUCUAGAGUUUUACCAGUGACGAGAUAGGCGUGUAUAUUUUGUGCUAUUAGGAUUGUGCUUUGAGUCUAAGAGGUCUUCCACAUUUGCCUUUUGACGGAUCUGUUCAUUAAAAGAUUAGGCUCACAAGUUCUGUGCUAAAAAAAAACCUGGGAAGUUACACAAUUGGCAGAACCAGUGAUCCUCAGUUGAGCAGAAGAAAGAAAAACUCUAAACACGGGUUUUUGUUUCCUGUCACUCAUACUGUUAACUUAUUUUCCAGCAAAUAUUUGUAGGCGCACUGGGCUUGGUGCUCCUGGAGACACAUAAAUGAACUUGGUUCAUCGGAGUCCAUGGUGCAUAAAUGAACUUGGGCUGUGGGAGUCCGCCGUGACAGCCGGGAUGCGGGUGGGGCUGGGAUGCCAUGGAGCAUCUUGCCACCAGGGGGUAGCAUAGAGCUGCCGCUAUAAAUCGUGGGUCCCUUCACAUCACACUCGAUAAUUUAUGUCAUGUGGGAAACCCACUGGGAUGUUUAUCUGAACAAUUUGUGCUGCUUUUUCAGGCAUUCUUUUCACUCUAAGAUUCUCAGAGGAAAGGGCCCAUCAGAGGUCCUGGGAAAGCUACCAGAAGUGAUUUAUACAUGUACUUUUACAUAAAACAACUGCCCCUCUCUAGACUUACCGGGCAGUAGUGCAGUGGAGACGGUUAGCACUGUGCUGUCCACAUCUGAGCUUUGUCGGAGGAAGAAAGACUAGGAACUUACACAGCUGGCAGAGAAACAAUCCUUAAGCAAAGAAAGUAAAAUUGGAACUGUAUGCUCUGGUUUCUGUCACACAUACUUUAUUUCACACCUUUGGAGCAUUAGGCUAGAGAAAGACAUGGCUCUCACUCUCAAAAAGCUGAGAGAGAAGACAAGGUGAGUGUUCAAAGAACCACAUUUUAAGGCAUAUAAUGUAAUACAGAUGUUUAUAAAGGUAUAAGUAGUGUGUGUGUGUGCACGCGUGCCUGUGUGUGUGUUGGGGAAGGAGUCAUCAGAAGGAGAGAUCUAAAUUUUGUACCACUUAGGAUUGUCACUUUUAUAUGAGGAAUACUAAGUUUCCUUAACACGGCAUGGAUGAAUGUUUGGAAAAGUGCAGUCUAUGGAUCACCUGCAUUGGAAUGCCCUGUGGUGAUGUUAAAAAUGCAGAUUCUGGAGCUCCACCCAGACCCACUGACUUGGAAUGUCUAGGGGUAGGACCCCAAGAAUCUGCAUUUCAACAGCCUCCCUGGGGUCAUCUCCAGCUCACUAAAGAUCAGGAGCCACUGAUGUAAAUCAUAAAUGUUAAAAUAGGAAGAAAACAGUGUAUAUUAGAUCCAAGCAAAGAGAGAUGGGUGUGUAUUUUUAAAAGGCGCAACAAGGUUUGCCAUUUUUCAAACUGUUCACUCGAAACAUCAGAGCUAGAGAAAAAGAAACACAAAGAUGACUUUAAAAUGAUGAGGAACUAACUCCAGAGGCUGUACUGUCAUUAAAGGUGCUUUAUUUCUGAAGUUUUCUUUAAAAACAAUUAUUAGCAAAAGAAGCACAUGCUCACGUUAGAACAUUUUGGAACAAUAGGAAAGUGUUUUCUGUUGUGCUUAUAUGAGUAUAUGUCAGAAUUCAGGAGGUACAUAGGCUACACAGUGAUAGAGUCUCCCUCCCACCAUCCUGUUUGUUCUUUCUCAAGCCCACAAAUGAUAGCAUCCUCUACACACCAUUCUGCCCUUUGCCUGCUUUCUUCUUUUUUAGGUUUUUGUUUUAUUUAUAUGCAUUUGAAGUUUUCAUGUAAAAGAAUGACAUGAUACAAUUUUCAUUUUGAAAAGUUCAUGUGGAGAGCAGAUUCUUUAUGUUGUUCAUUCGUUCCCCUGUCUGUCCAUCCACCCACCCAUCCAUCCAUCUACUUAUUUAUGGAACACCUAAUCUUUUUUUCCAUUGGUGAAAAUGUUUAUAUAUUUUCUAUACAGCCAUCUUUUAAGAUUUUGUUAACCGAUAUGGACAUUGCAAAAUUAUUGGCUUAAGACGUAUACAUUCUACUUCUUAUGUUAAAGUGGAGGAUUUUAAUUUGGGGAAACCAAUAAUAUUAAUGAUUAUGAUAAUUAAAAACUAAAUCAGAAUAUCCUAAAAGUCAACACAACAAAUUUAACAAAUAUUUUAGGAAAGGAACCAAAUAAAAGCUGUAACCAUUUGUUUCUAGAACAAAUACAUUCAUGCAUUCAUCAAUUUAACAGUUUUGGACAGCAUUUUACUGAAUAAGUGUUUUUUAUUCAAUUCAUUGUUUCAUUAAUGAAAGAAUUACAAUCCAUAAAGAUGACCAAAUGAGGCAUAACAACCUACUCACCAGCACCUGCUUUUCCAACUUAUAUGAAUCUAACAUCUCUCUCCCUCUCUAUCUAUCUGUCCAUCUUCACCAUUUCUUAGUCUGUCUUUGGGUUUGGGCCAUGAUUUCUUAUGAAGAGAAUCAAAAGCCUAACUUAGUGUCUACUGUGGACUUUGACAGAGCGCCUAAUCUUUGCCAGGCCCAGUGCUGGGCUCUGAGUAUGUAGGGAUAAUGCAGACGAGGUCCCUUUUCUCAAGGAGCUCACAGUCAAAUGGGGGCAGCAGCCAAUAAUCAGUUACAGAACAGUGUGGUAAGCACUAUGUGAUGUUUAAAUGAGGACCAGAGGAUAGAAAAGGGAUAUCGAAACACUUAUGAGGUCAGGGGGUGCUUCCUGGAGGUGGUGACAUUGUGCUGAGUUUGAAGGAGCAUCAAGUACUCUCCAGGGAAGAAGGCAGGGGCAAGGAGGUAGCAUGUCAGUCACAGGAACCCCCUGGGAAAAGGUGAUUAAUCAUGAAGGAGAAUAGCAUACUUGAGGAAUAUGAUACAUUCUGAGAAUUUUUUUAUUAUUUCUUCCAACUAGGUGUUACAUAUAUAUAUGAAAGUUAUUGAUUUUGGUAUAUUAAUUAUGUACCAGCUCUUGCCCUUUACUGAAUUCUCUUACUAAUUAUAAUGAUUUUUCGAUUGAUUCUCUUGGAUUUUCCAUAUAGAUUUUUUUUUCAAAUUUUGUAAAAUUUAGCUCCUCUUUUUCCAAGUUUUAUACCUCUUAUUUUUGCUCUUUGUCUAAUUACAUUGGCUAGAACAUCCAGAAAAAUGUUAAGUCAGAAUAAUAGUCAAUAUCAUCUUUGUCUUGUUCUUGACUUUAACGAGCGUGCUGUAGUAUUUUCCCAUUAAGCAUGAUGCUGGCUUUAGCGUAAGUGGAUCGAUCGAUAGACACAUGGUUAUCUUCAGGAAUUGUUCAUCUGUACUUAUGUUGUUAAAAGAGUUUUUUUCCUUAAGAAUGGAUGUUGAAUUUCACGAAAUCUCUUUCAGUGUACUGGAGAUUGAUUAUGUGAUUUUUCUCUUUGAUCAAUUAAUGUAAUCAGUUGUGUUAUAGAUUUACUCAUAUUGAACCAUCCUUUUAUUCUUGGAAUAAGUGAUCCUUGACAGUAAUGUCCUAUUCUUUUAAUGUGCUGAUAGGUUCUGUUUGUUAAUACUUUCAUUUAUAUUUUUGAUUAAUAAUUUUCAUGAGGUUAUACAAUUUUUUGAGUAUUUUUUUCAGAUUUUGGAAUAUAUAAAGACAUGUUUUUAGGUCUCCAUUACAGAUUGUUCCCUUUUAUCAUUAUAAAAAGCCACCUUUGUUUUCUUUAUUGCUCUUUGCUCUGAAUUCAUCCUUAUCUGAUAUUAAGAUUGGGACCCUGCUUACUUUUUGUUUGCGUUGGCCAAGUAUGCCUCUGUCCGUCCUUUGGUUUUCAGCCCGAGUCAUUUUUGUCAGGUCUGUUGCUUGUAUAUAAAGAACAUUUGGAUUUUGCUUUAAAAUCCAUUAUGAGAAAUAUUUUUCUUUUAAUAGGUGAAUUUAUCUCAUUAUAUUAUUGAAGUCUUGUUCACCUCAUCACAUUUUAUGUUAUGCUUUCUGUUUAUAUUGCUUCUUUUACCAUAUGGUCUCUGCUUUUUGUUCUGUUUCCUUUUGUGUGUGUGUGUUUCUUUUGAUAAUUUGGAAAACUUAAAUGUCUGUUCCACAGCUGUUUUUUUUUUAACUUUAAAUUAAUUCCUUAAUCCUUCAUAUUUUAGGCAGUAUUUAUUAAUAUCCUGUGAAAAAUGAAUGUAAUAAGUUUGUAUUUCCACCUGUUCCCUGCUUCUCUCUAUUCCUCAAUACUCAUUCUAUUGACUGAUUAAUUGAUUGACUUUACAUUUUUAAAUAUAAUUAUAAUCUAUUACUUGAUUUAUUAGCCUUAAAUUACAUAUUUUUACCUGUGGCUAUGAAAGAUGAGGAAAUCCACAUGCCUACACUGCUUUACGCACCUCCUCUCCCUUCUCCUCACCUCUUUUUAUUAGUUUUAUCAUUACUAUAUUGCUAAGGUUUUUCACAUCUACAUUCUGUUCUUUAACCAUAAUUGCUACAUUUGUUUUAGUCUUAGUCCAACCUACAAUUGAUUUUUUUUCACUUACUGAUAAACUAUGAAUAUAUUCUCAUGCUAUUCUUCUACAAUAUUGUUUUUGACAGCUGCAUAAUAUUUCUGUAUGGAUAAAUGUGCCAUUUCUUGUUUAGCCAAUCCCCUAUUAUUGAGCACUUAAGUUGUAUCCAAUGUUCACUAGUAUGAAUAGUAUAAACCAGGCUAACCUCUUUGAAACUUAAAACUCUAUAUUUCCAACUCUUGCAAAACAGUAAUUAGAGGCCAAUUCCUCUCAGGACAGUGGUCUCAAACUUUAGUGACCAUUCACAUCUCCUGGGAGUCUUGUUAACAUGGAGAUUCCGAUCCAUAGGUCUGGGCCGGAGCCUGAGAUCCUGCAAUUCAGACAAGCUCCCAGGUGAUGAUGAUGCUACUGGUCUUCAGACCACACUUUGAGUAGCAAAGUCUUUGAAUACAUUUUGUGUCUGUGGAAUUUUGCUUGAAUGAAAAAAAUGCAGAAAACAUAGUCUGUGGCAGUGGUGCUCAUUGUGUCUUGUGAAACACUUUAAAAUAUUAGGUUUAUAUCAAAGUAAUUUGUAGAAAAUCAUUAUUAUUUGUGAAUGUUCAUUUUGCGAUUUUGUUAGUGCACCUUCAAGGUUACCCUUAUGUUGUAAAUCUCCUCACUUGCCUAGGCCUAUUGAGGAUGUGUGCAUGGGAGCCUAUCAGAUGGCACAUUGCUGUCACAUGGGAAAAAAGACUGAGAACCUGGGGACCAGAAAUAAAGCAGAGUUCAGACUGGCACCCUGGAGUGAGUCAGUGAAAAGAAGACUUUGAUCCCCAAUUUGUAGAUGAUACCUGCACUCCUAACCCUUGGAGAUGUGUCUUUCCUUUGGCGGGUGGGUGGUUGUUAGGGUGGUUUUAUCCUACCAGACCCUAAGUGAUCUGGCCCCUGCCUGCAUCUCUCAGUUACAUUUACCUCCUUCAUGUUCAUCCUACCCAGGGGUUAAGCAAGCUUUUUCUAUAAAGGGCCAGACAGUAAAUAGCUUUGUUGACCAUACUGUCACAACUACUCAACUUUGCUAUUGUAGAGCGAAAGCAGCCAUAGACAAUAUGUGAACAAAGGAGUAUGCCAAUAAAACUUUAUUUAUAAAACCAGUUAGUGGGCCAUAGUUUGCUGAUCCCUGCUCUAACACACCAAAUAAGCUUCUGCUUUAGGGUCUUUGCACCAUUUGUUCCCUUUGCUUAAAACUCACUUCCCCUAGAUGGUCCAAGGAUUUGUUCUCUUACUCCAUUCAGGUCUCUCAGCUGUCAUGUCAUCUGAAAGGCCUUCCCUGACCACUCAGUAUAGAAUAGCACCCUUCCCCCAUAUCUCCAUUCCUUUUUUGCCUCUCUCCUAUGAUAAAUACUUCAUUUAGUUACGUUACUAAUAAUAUUGAUCAUAUUUUGAUAAUUUCUGGAGAAAAGUAUAUGUAUUUAUAGGCGGAGUAUUUUUUAUACGUGUAGCAAUUCAUUUACAGUGAACCAUCUCUAUGGACAGACUUAGAUUUGUUAUGCAGAGUUUGUUUUAAUCAUAUUCCUUCUAAUAACUUUUCCCCUGAGAUUUAGAAUGAGUUUGACAGUGCCAAACAUAUCAUAUGAUGAAACGGCACAGGGUGAAAUGAAGGAAUUGCUUUGAUCUAGAUCCUCAUCAAUUAAAAAAAAAUAAUGUCUUUGGCUAUUCUACCUCUUACUAUGGAUUAUACCAGGUUCUGCCCCUGUAUGUAAUUUUCAAAGAACUAUUUAUGGAAAAAGAAGAAUUUCCUAUAUAAUUUGCAUGUUUCCCAGAAGCAGAGGAAGCCUCGUGGCCUAAUGAAAGGCUGAUCAGUGCAGGGUGAGUAGGGGAACUGGGAGAGACGUUUCCUAAGGAAAGAUAAUCAAAUAGGAAAUUCAUGUGAGGACAUGAUAGCUUUGGAGGAUCCAGUCCCAAGGAGGAGAGAGAGAUCGGAUUCUGAAGAGUCCACACAGGGUGUCCAUGUAGCCAUGCCCGUGUAGCCAAAGGCUGCUGUAGCCUUUGGAAAUCUACAUCAGUGUACCAUUUUGAAUGCAGCUGAAGAAAAUCUCUCCAUGUGGGCAGCUAGUGUAGAGGGUGCAUGAGCCCCACAUGCCCUUAGGGAGAUGACUCCAAUUAUGGGGUAUUACUGAGGUUCAGAUGGCUUGGCAUACUCUCAGGGGGUCCGUACCGUGGAAGAACAUCUCAAGAGCUGUUGCACUUUUAACAUGAGGAGUGACACCAAGACUAACCCAUUGAAGGACCCCAAUAGGCAAAGGACCCCUCCUGCUAGAAGAGGGUCUAUAUCUGAGAAGCAGGCAGAAUUCAAGACUAGGAUAAAGUGAGAGAAUUGUGGUUUCAGCUGAUGCUAAGAUUCUACAGAUGAGGCAUCUUUUCUGGACUUGUGGCCCCAUCAUGCUUUGGUUGGCAGGCUUUGCGAUCUCUACCAAUUUCUUUAAAAAGGUGAUUUUGUAAAUACCUAUGUAAAGUGUGGUGUUAUGGACCUUUUUCUUGAUUGCUAAGAAUAUUCCAACACAGUAUAAUUCCUAACAUAACAUGAUUCUGUUAUAUAACAUGAGUGUACAUAAGAUGACUUUUCAUCUGUAUUUUUAACUACCUUUCCAAAGGAUGCUGUUGGAAGGACAUUGGUUUAGCUUAACCAAAGUGAGAUGUCCUUAUUUUGGUGUGUGUCUCCCGCAUUUUGGUUCUCUAGUCUCCGCUUCCCACAUUAAGAUUUGAAAAUGAAAGAGCUUGAGGGUGGUUUCAUUGUAAAGUGGCAUCUAAUUGGUGGGUACCAGUGGGGUUCAAUAAAACUGAAAAUUCAAUUUCCUAGGAAUUUUGAAGAUUCUGAAGCUUUCUAAGAGGGCAAAAUACAUGGUGGUAAAACAUCGGUCUCUUUAAGCCAGAAAUGUACAUAAAUGGUUAUAGAUUGUUGAAGAUUGGACCUAAAAGCUAAAGUAACUAUAGCCUUUUUGUUGCAGCUAUUAAAAGGUGUGAUUAUGUCCAAGUCCUGAACUGUGUUUCUAAUUCCACCUUAGGUCAUUGGAACUGAAAAGUCUUCUGUAAACAUUGUUUAUUAUUUCAAGUCUUUGCUCUUUCACCCUAGAGAUAUGGAAAGUUAAAAAAAAUUGUUUGCCAGUUCCCUCCAGGUGUUAGCAGCCUGCUUCAGCAUCCCUCAGCGUGGGACUGCUCAGUGUUUAUAAUACUCAGCUAUUGAUUUUAUUCUCUGAGGUUGUAACACAGAUAAAUUCUCAGGGCUAUUGGUCCUAUGUGAGGAGGAGCCACAGUAAUUCAUUCUAACACUGGUGCCUGGCAUCCGUGGGAAAAAAAUAAAAACAAGUGUUGGAUUUACUCUUGGCUGUGGGUCUUUUUCUCUUUCUAAAAUCAUUAUGUUAGUUAAAAUGAGCCUUUGUACCAAAGGAAACAAUCUAUCACAGCUUGGGAUUGGAGAACUCUACAGGGAAAGAGCUCAGAUUUAUGGAAGAAGGAGUUAAUAACAUUGGCUAGAGAUGGGGCUCCUAACUUGGCUCCCUAUAGCUUGCCUCUUGUAAUUCUCAUUCUUUUUUCCACCUCUGCAAUUUCUUCCUCUCUUUUACUAUAGCUCUUUUUCACAUUUAAACAGUGCUGGGUUUUUUAAUUUACUUUUCUUAUGUUCUGGCCUCUUCAUCAUCUCUUUCCCACCUACCCUUCCCGCCUUUGGGAUAUAUAAUUUCUACUCUUUCCUUGUCCCAAUACUGGGUCUAUUUUCCCAUCUUCUCCAACUAUCUGGAUACACUUGUUAUCUAUUCCAGUUUGUAUUGCUGGGGUUCUUUCCCCCACUAUUUCUAUCAGAAAGGGAGACCCCACUGUUUUCAGUAUUUGUCUUUAUUGUGGGGAUGUGUAAUGGGGUGGGGAGGAAGGAAAGGAAGAGGGAAAUAGGGAAGGAGAGAGAAAGAGAGAGAUUGAAAGACACUGAACUGUGGGUGUUUAUGACAUAGGCUUCUUGGAAAACAGUGAGAGAAGAUGGGUUGGGGGUGGAUUCCCAACCCUUGGGAAUGCUGAUACACAUGGCAUAGGAGUGAGCUCCUUCACAAAUUCUAUGUGGAAUUCAGUUAUCCCCAUCUGUGGGGUAUCAGUCACUGGAAUGUGGCUCUAUAUUGCAUGCGUACAUGGAUGAGUCUGGAGGCCAAGAAUUCUCAUUUAUUUCCUCCACGGCUGGGCCUCUGCAGAGCAGGGCAGCUCCAUUAAUCUUUCUUCAGGCUGAGGUUAAACCCCAUUAAGCCAAAGUGCACCUGCUUUUCCGAGAUGUCAUCUAUCUGACUUACGCAUCCUACAAAUGUGGUGGUCACUGGUCUGGUUUGGUUUGGGCAGGUGUUUUCCUGAGGGUGGGGAAGGGAGAAAAAGCUCUGAGCUCCAUCUUGCUCCUGCUGAGUGGCAGAGUAAAGACACAGAGAGGUGAGAAUAUCAAUAGUGGAGUGAAUAAAAUCGAAAGCAAGAUUGGUGCAGACAAACCAAAAUGCAGACAUUCUAUCUGCAGAUAUCAAGAAUUGGCUAUCCUUGUAGUUUGCUCUCAGAGUAAGAAUUAGGUUUGAAAGGGACAAUUCCCACAGCUUGUCUAAAAAGGAGGUGUAUUUAAGGAGACCUUCAGAUAAGUACAUUUAUCUUCAAACAGGGAUAACGGAAAUGGUGGAGGGAUUAGGGAAAAUCUGCAAAUCCUCUGUUCUUCUAUAAAAGUGAGUUGCAAAUCCAGAGAGUGAGCAAUCAUUUUUGGGGAAAAGUUCAUUUUCUGAAGAUGAAUCUCUAAACAGCAGCUCCAUUCAAAUUCUGUGGCUGCUUUGCAAACAAGGCUUGUGCUUUUAUAGCAUUUUUUUAAAAAACGGAUUUAAUGGACUGAGUUCAUUUAGACAGGGGAGAUCAAAUGAAUGAGUGGAAUUAGAAUACACGUCCAUUUGGCUGUCAGUCAUUAUUUAAGCCACUCGACCACCCAACUUCUCUAAUUAAAUGACUUUGCAGUCCCUGUAUAAAGGCUGCGAUGGAUAAAUUAGUACUUGGUAAGUGCUUUGAAGAUGAAAAUCACAAUAUGAGUAAUGAGCAAAGAUUUUUUUUCCUUGGGCUGGAAACGGCGUCUUUUGUGUUUUCCUACUGCACCAUGAGUCACCUAGGUUGACAUUGCAGAAAACCUCCUCUCCCAAAGGAAGAACAAGAGAGACACAGUAAUGACAGGCUUUUAUUUGACUUACAAGGCAAAUUAGGAAACAGCCCGAAUCCAUUCACAUCUAUACAAGGAAUUACAUACCAUACAUAUUUGCUACCUAUAGACACAGGUCAUAUUUUACAUGAAUUUACACAUUAGAAAUCACAUGGAAAUUAUCUUGUUUAAACAUUCAUGAAGAGCAAACAUCCGCCAAGAGCACUGAAGAUAGAAAUUUAGCUCUCUCUUCUGAGAGCCUGGCUCACCUCUCUCGGUGCAUUUAAAGCUCUGUGUUGAACCACCUCCAAAACCAAUGGGAUGUUAAGAUUUAUCUCCUUGAGGAUGUGAUGGUUAUUUUUAAUAGGGGGGCUUAUAAGAUCUGCAGAUUUGGAAGUAAAGUGUGAACCAUUUGGCAAAAUCCAGCUCUGUCCGUCGGGGGCGAAUCUUGCCCCUUCCUGGCUCCCCCCGCUGGCCCCUCUGCACAGAAGCGAAAAACCUAACUUACAUGUUCCAGACUUUGCUGGGAGCUCUUUUUCCCUCACAUCCAGACAUUCUCAUUUAUAUAUGAUUUCCUUCUCCUGGAUUGCUUUGACGCUGUGAUAAUUAGUCAUGUUAGUUUGUCCAGGUUGACUAAUUACUGAUAGUUUGGACAGGCCCCAUCAGAAAGGUUGCAUAACCCCAAUGUAAGUUAGGAUCCAAGCUGAUGGCUGCAACGCUCCUCACUGCGCCAGAGUGAGCAAGUGGUGCAUCAUUGUCAGCCCUGGCAGUGCCUCACUCUCAGCUGUACCCCUCAAUUGGUCACAGCUGAGAGGAUGGCAUUCACAGCAUGGCUGGCAGGGUCACCUCUUACUGAGGCGGCAGGGGGAGGAGGGCGGGAAAGCUCAUUGCGGGGAUGGGCGGGUAUGAGGGAGUAGCGUGGGGGUGAGGAGGAGGAUGGAUGCAUGGGGGGAAAAUGCACCAGUGCUGGAUGCGGUCCUGAAAACCUGGCUAAAAUGGUCGAAGGGGAGAAGAGAAAAGCUCCCUCUCUGACAGAUUCAAAUAUAGGCAAAGUCCAAAAGACUCUUAGGAGUUAAGGGAAAACAAUUAUGCUUAUCAGCUUCCUGCCAAUCUGUCUCCACUGACAGCGCAGAAGGAAUUAUAGAUACCAUAGACACACUGUGGCAUUAAUUGUUAGAAAUUAUACUGCUUAACAAUGCUUCCUGAUAGGGCCCUCUGCACGGGGCCAGAGAGCUGGUUUGAGCCAGCAGGACCACUGUAGGGGCGUGGUGAUGCUGUCUGCAGAAGUUUCUCACAUUGGGCCAUUUUCUUUCCCAAGAAACCUCACUCCAGCCAUGAAAGGAAAAAAAGUUCCAGUUGAUACUAAUUUGGAUUCGUUGAAUAUUUAGCACGUCAUUCACAUAGCUGUCUUAGCAGAAAAAGCC